rnacentral:rRNA from 1 species
GACGAACGCUGGCGGCGUGCUUAACACAUGCAAGUCGAACGGUGAUCCUUGGUGCUUGCACCUUGGUGAUCAGUGGCGAACGGGUGAGUAACACGUGAGUAACCUGCCCCAGACUCUGGAAUAACCCCGGGAAACCGGAGCUAAUACCGGAUAUGACACCAGGCCGCCUGGUCAUGGUGUGGAAAGUUUUUCGGUCUGGGAUGGACUCGCGGCCUAUCAGCUUGUUGGUGAGGUAAUGGCUCACCAAGGCGACGACGGGUAGCCGGCCUGGGAGGGCGACCGGCCACACUGGGACUGAGACACGGCCCAGACUCCUACGGGAGGCAGCAGUGGGGAAUAUUGCACAAUGGGCGCAAGCCUGAUGCAGCGACGCCGCGUGAGGGAUGACGGCCUUCGGGUUGUAAACCUCUUUCAGUAGGGAAGAAGCGCAAGUGACGGUACCUACAGAAGAAGCACCGGCUAACUACGUGCCAGCAGCCGCAGUAA